AGGUUAGCUCCCAUGAUCAAUGCUCAGCCGCUCACCUGUCCUUCAGGUGAUGUCCCGGGGUUGAAGCUGCAGUCCAGCUGUGAGCUUGAUUCGUUCAGCUGGGUUCCCUUCGGACGCUCUGUGCAGCGCUGCUCCUCCGCGAACCACGUCAGGGUCACUACUUGAAGGGAUGAAAGACACGGACACCUGAUGGCUCUUGAACAGGAGACAUUUAUUGCAAUUUUUCACUACUACAUAUACCUUCCCUGUAGCCCCAUGCGCUGUCCACGUGCCUGAAUCUGUCAUACAAUUGGUCAGAGACCCUCAGACAUGUGCCUCGAGCCAGCCAGCAAUUGGCCACUGUCCAAAGCUCAUCUUUAACACUGUAGCCAAGUUACUUUAUCUCAACCUUGCUCAAGUUUUUGUUUCUACUACUUGUUUCCUCAUUAUCUCUAAUUCAGGGACGUGUGAAACAUCACAGAGAAAAUU